UCGUUCCUACGGGAGGCAGCAGUGGGGGAUAUUGCACAAUGGGGGGAACCCUGAUGCAGCAAUGCCGCGUGAAGGAUGAAGGUUUUCGGAUUGUAAACUUCUUUUGUACGGGACGAAGAAAGUGACGGUACCGUAAGAAUAAGCCACGACUAACUACGUGCCAGCAGCCACGGUAAUACGUAGGUGGCAAGCGUUAUCCGGAUUUGCUGGGUGUAAAGGGCGAGUAGGCGGGAUUGCAAGUCAGAUGUGAAAACUAUGGGCUCAAC
rnacentral:rRNA from 1 species